AUUGAACGCUGGCGGAAUGCUUUACACAUGCAAGUCGAACGGCAGCACGGGGGCAACCCUGGUGGCGAGUGGCGAACGGGUGAGUAAUACAUCGGAACGUGCCCAGUCGUGGGGGAUAACGUAGCGAAAGUUACGCUAAUACCGCAUACGAUCUACGGAUGAAAGCGGGGGACCGUAAGGCCUCGCGCGAUUGGAGCGGCCAAUGUCAGAUUAGGUAGUUGGUGAGGUAAAGGCUCACCAAGCCGACGAUCUGUAGCUGGUCUGCGAGGACGACCAGCCACACUGGGACUGAGACACGGCCCAGACUCCUACGGGAGGCAGCAGUGGGGAAUUUUGGACAAUGGGCGCAAGCCUGAUCCAGCCAUUCCGCGUGCAGGACGAAGGCCUUCGGGUUGUAAACUGCUUUUGUACGGAACGAAAAGGCUCUGGUUAAUACCUGGGGCUCAUGACGGUACCGUAAGAAUAAGCACCGGCUAACUACGUGCCAGCCGCCGCCGUAA
rnacentral:rRNA from 1 species